rnacentral:tRNA from 2 species
GGAGAGCUGUCCGAGUGGCUGAAGGAGCACGCCUGGAAAGUGUGUAUACGUUAGUAGCGUAUCGAGGGUUCGAAUCCCUCGCUCUCCGCCA